rnacentral:snRNA from 1 species
UCUAAUUCACAAGAGACUUUU